rnacentral:rRNA from 1 species
CAGUAGCCACGGGAAUACGAAGGGGGCUAGCGUUGUUCGGAAUCACUGGGCGUAAAGGGCACGUAGGCGGCACUGUUAGUCAGGCGUGAAAUUCCCGGGCUCAACCUGGGGACUGCGCUUGAUACGGCAGAGCUUGAGGAUGGAAGAGGGUCGUGGAAUUCCCAGUGUAGAGGUGAAAUUCGUAGAUAUUGGGAAGAACACCGGUGGCGAAGGCGGCGACCUGGUCCAUUACUGACGCUGAGGCGCGACAGCGUGGGGAGCAAACAGGAUUAGAUACCCCGGUAGUCCCUGUCUCUUAUAC